UGCGUAGGUGGAUUGCCAAGUCCGUGGUGAAAUCUUCGAGCUUAACUCGGAAACUGCCGUGGAUACUGGUAGUCUUGAAUACCGUGGAGGUCAGCGGAAUAUGUCAUGUAGCGGUGAAAUGCUUAGAUAUGACAUAGAACACCAAUUGCGAAGGCAGCUGACUACGCGAAUAUUGACACUCAGGCACGAAAGCUGGGAUCGAAACA
rnacentral:rRNA from 1 species